rnacentral:misc_RNA from 1 species
GAUGAAGAACGUAGCGAAAUGCGAUAAGUAAUGUGAAUUGCAGAAUUCAGUGAAUCAUCGAAUCUUUGAACGCACAUUGCGCCCGUCAGUAUUCUGGCGGGCAUGCCUGUUCGAGCGUCAUUACGCCCCUCAAGUCCCCUGUGGACUUGGUGUUGGGGAUCGGCGAUGCUGGUUUUCCAGCACAGCCGUCCCUUAAAUUAAUUGGCGGUCUCGCCGUGGCCCUCCUCUGCGCAGUAGUAAAACACUCGCAACAGGAGCCCGGCGCGGUCCACUGCCGUAAAACCCCCCAACUUUUUAUAGUUGACCUCGAAUCAGGUAGGACUACCCGCUGAACUUAAGCAUAUCAAUAAGCGGAGGA